AGUGAACGCUGGCGGUAGGCCUAACACAUGCAAGUCGAACGGCAGCACCGUAAGUGCUUGCUCUUACGGGUGGCGAGUGGCGGACGGGUGAGGAAUACAUCGGACUCUACUUUUUCGUGGGGGAUAACGUAGGGAAACUUACGUUAAUACCGCAUACGGCCUCCGGGUGAAAGCAGGGGAUCUUCGUACCUUUCUCGAUUGAAUGCGCCGAUGGCGGAUUAGCUGGUUGGCGGGGUAAAGGCCCACCCAGGCGACGAUCCGUAGCUUGUCUGAGAGGGUGAGCAGCCACGGUGGAACGAAGAGACGGACCGGGCUCCAGCGGAGGGCAGGAGUGGGAAGUAUGGACAAUGGGGGCAAGCCUGAUCCAGCCAUACCGCGUGGGUGAAGAAGGCCUUCGGGUUGUAAAACCCUUUUGUUGGGAAAGAAAAGCAGCAGGUUAAAACCCCGCUGUUCUGACGGUACCCAAAGAAGAAGCACCGGCUAACUUCGUG
rnacentral:rRNA from 1 species